rnacentral:rRNA from 1 species
GAUGAACGCUAGCUACAGGCUUAACACAUGCAAGUCGAGGGGCAGCAUGAUUGAAGCUUGCUUCAAUCGAUGGCGACCGGCGCACGGGUGAGUAACACGUAUCCAACCUGCCGAUAACUCGGGGAUAGCCUUUCGAAAGAAAGAUUAAUACCCGAUAGUAUAGUAUUUCCGCAUGGUUUCACUAUUAAAGAACUUCGGUUAUCGAUGGGGAUGCGUUCCAUUAGAUAGUUGGCGGGGUAACGGCCCACCAAGUCAACGAUGGAUAGGGGUUCUGAGAGGAAGGUCCCCCACAUUGGAACUGGGACACGGUCCAAACGCCUACGGGAGGCAGCAGUGAGGAAUAUUGGUCAGUGGACGAGAGUCUGAACCAGCCAAGUAGCGUGAAGGAUGGCUGCCCUAUGGGUUGUAAACUUCUUUUAUACGGGAAUAAAGUGGAGUAUGCAUACUCCUUUGUAUGUACCGUAUGAAUAAGGAUCGGCUAACUCCGUG